AGUAAGCAAAAUGAGGUUAACAUUUUUUUGGUGGUAAGCUGAAACAAAACAGCCACGACACGGCACAGCCAAACAGCCAAGUAAAGUGUCAGCGAAACGUUUGACUUCAUGAUAACAUUACAUCAAAUUACUUGUUUGUGGUCAAAAAGUGUGCUUCCGUGCAAUGUCAGAUUUGACGGUAAAAAAUAUUGUCAAGCCUGAAGAGCUGGAAACAGCCGAAACCGCAGAAAACAGUGUUCCAGGUAAAGCGAACAGCAGACGUUUAUGCAACUACAUUCUCAAGAAGACGCCACGUUCUAUGGCAAUCAUGGCUUGCUUCGUGGGCUGCUGUUACUUCCUGGUGGUGUCAGCGAACCGACUCAAUGCUGGUGUCAUAUUACAGGAAUUCAAGGCAACCAGCUCAGUGGACAACGAAAACUUGCAAAUAACAGUCUGUCCAGUUGGUCCAUUUGACCCUAUACACUUAAUGGACUACAAGAUUCACACAAAAAGGGCCAAUAACUUAAGAGCAUUGUCGAAGCAGUACAACAUAAAUCAAUUUGCAAAAACAUUUCACACAGCGAUGGACUGUUUGCAUGACAACAAGUACGCGCACAGAGACGACACUAUCGCGAAAAAGGCACACCUCCUGCAAAGGUACCCGGAGUGCAUCAGCUUUGCAGAAGAUGUCAUCUCUACCGACUUUCCUUAUGAUCUGCUAGAAAUAUAUACCUGGCUUAGAAACAUCGACCUAUUAUACACUCUUGGUCUUACUGCAGAAGGUGGUGUGGAUUCUUACGAUGGAAUUUACAGAAAUAUUGAUAUUUUAAUACAAGACAAUUCAACACUUGCACAAUAUCUGACAGAAACAUCCCGAGAUAUUGAAGAAUUUCUUGUAAAUGACUUUACUUCUGUCGACAACGUUAAUCUGAAUAAGCCUGCCCAGAAAAUCUUAGUCAACAAUGCACUAAGAACACGUUUUGGAAUGAAAUGUAUCAGCUACACCAUGGCAAACAGCGAAGAUGGAAAGAAACUGAACCAACGGUUCCAACUUCAGAUGACUUUUAACAGACUGGAAUGGGCCUAUCUGCUGGUGUCCGUGCACGUCAACCGUACAUUCAGCGACAUUCCCGGCGCAACAUUAAUUCAGCCAUACCGAAUUCCACUGGACACUACCAGCGUACUCCACAUUCGAAGAAUCGAAAAAACAAUUAAGAAUGACCAGUUGGAAGACUGCAAGAACUAUGAUAGGAGUACCUCACCUGGCUCUCACGUAGAAUGCAUGGAGGCAUGCAUUCUUAAGAAGGUGGUGACCAGUCAAAACCUUACUUGUCUGAUACCAUGGAUGGACCGGAACUCUACACGUGGUUUGAUCAAUAAACCAUUCUGCAACACAUCUGAAGACUUUUUCAGAAGCCGUAAUGUGGCGUGGAGAGUUUUUCAAGGGAACAUCAGUGAUUGCAAUGACCUGUGUACACCAAGCUGCGAGCAGCUGAAUAUCCUGGUCAAAAUAAUGGGUAAUAUCAAGCCAGCCGUCUUCGGCAACGAACAACGUCAUAGCUUGAUCUUUAUCGUGUCCAAUGAAAUGGAUGAAUUCAGAAACAGACCAGCAUACGGCUGGGGUGACUUCGUCUCAGAGGUGUUUGGGUCACUCAGUUUUGUCCUCGGUAUUGCCUUUGUAGCCCUGAUUGACUGGGUAUUUGCAGCAUUGCUAUGGCUCUGUGGGAAACUCCCCUACAUCCCAGCAAUGCCGCCUAUCCUAAACUCGGACAUUUACAUCCGUGACAUCUACUAUAAAGUCAGACACGAGCUGUAUGGUGAACCGAUCCCAAUGACCAUAUCACAGACGUACUUGAAAAAGCAUGAGCGUAGGAGGGAUGCGGUCAAGGCCGCUGCUCAAUCUACAGCAGAGAAAAAGGACAGUGACCACCGGCGACCUCAGUUCCCACGCAUGCAUCUAAGAAAGUCUAGUCUGGCUUUAAUGUCAGAAGCAUUUGCCGCAGUGUCGCAACAACACGAAGAAGAAAUAUUGAUGCAGCAGUUUAAGAGCUUGUCCGAUAUUAUUCGACGGGGAAGCACCGUAGCAGAUAGGAGUUUGCAGAGGCGUCGCUCGUCCUUCCCUGGAGACCGUGUGUCUCAACAAACCAGCGCAUCAAUGCGCCAACCAUCAGGAGCGACCGCAUCAAGUUCUCAUGGCAUGCCAACGAUGUGGUCAGAGCCAAAAAUAACGAUAAGCGCACCUGACGAAGAUGAUGUUCGACAAAGGUCACAAACGUCGUCACCUGAGAGCCCAGCAGAUGACGUCGAGCAAGGAAGACAAUCGGCAGAUCAAGGCGCCCCGGGACAAGAGGCCAUCGACACUGGUCAACCGCCGCUGACGCCGGCUAAGAGCGGGCUGCCGGGCAUAGACCAGCAGCGUCGGCCGUCGCGGGCCGCCUCUGUAAUGCGAGACCUGGACGCCGCCGAGGCGAGCCCUUCAACAGCCGAAGGAGCGGCUGCACCGCAGCCCCCGGCCCAGGGACAGAGACGUGCCUCCUUAUAUCGCACUAAACCGCGGCGAAAAUCGCACGCGGUCGCGCCGGCUCCGGUCCCAUCGAUCGCAGAAUCGAGCGAAGGCGAAGAACCGCCGGACUAAGCUUUAGUGUACCUGUUCGGUUAUCUAGGUUUUUACAUUGUGUUGCCUGUGUUGUCGUGACGACUGGAAAACCAUGACCGAGCCGAGUCAUUUGGGUGUCCAUUCUUCGUGCCCUGCCAGUGACUUGAAGCAUUGACCGUUUUGUCUUUUACUGAACCUUGAUGUCAUAUGCUACUUAUGUCCAGCAGACACGGAAGCCGAUGCGCUCGCUUAUGUCACAUGGUUACAAGUGCAGACGGAAUGUGUUAUGUUGUGUGCUACUCAGAAGCAAACCACUUGACUUUGCUGGGGCUUUACAGACGGAUGUGAUUCAGUGAAGCUGUUAGGUAUCGCGGAGCGCAUUUGAUGUAACUGGUUGUAUUACCAGCACCAAGCUCAUCAUCAUACAUUAUAUCAGCAUGCAUACACUUGCAGGGAUCUAGUGUUCGUAUGGUUUAACAUUGACCUUUCAGGUGGAGAGAAUAUUAGCUCUCGCCCGUAUCGGCAUUUUCUCAGCCGCUAACGUAUAUGUAGAGGGGGAUCCAUCGGAUCCCCUACCAAGAUGUUUGGCCCCUGAUCAAGCUAGAGCUUCGCGGGAAAAAGAACGAGCGUGCUGCCCAUAACGAAAGAAAGCAAUGAUGCCUAGUUUUAAGUUCAUUGGUUGACCUUCCAGGUGCCAGGUCAGUGACACAAAGGUCAGGAAAAACAGGACCUGCUAGGACUUCAUACAAAAAGUAAUGCUGUUAUGGGGUUUUCCUGGUACUGAUUUUGUAUUUCAUUUUAUUUCAAGUUUUGAUCAAAGCUAGUGUCUCCUUUGUCUCCUAACAAUUCAUCUAUCGCCAAAAUAUUGAACCCGAUUUCAAUGCUCCCGUACAAAUGCACUAUGAACAUAUCUUGCUUUUGCAAAAUUGAGGUUGAGCUUCUAUUUAAGGCGUGUGCGUUAAGUAAUUUGUGCUGUCUGGUGAAAAUUGUUGUCACCUAUAACGACGUACCUGUGACAAAAUUAAAACCGAAGAUAGUAGCUUUUUAAUGGCGGUUUUAAACUGAAUUAGUCGAACAUAAAACAUGUGUGGGCAUACCAUUUGAUUCAAGGUCUUAAAAUGUUGCACAAAUUGCUUUCAUAGUGAUAUUAUACGGGCAUUAUGGAAACAUGAUGAAGUUAUGUGUUUAGCGAUUCAAACUCAACGGUUUUCACAUGAUGUCAAGCUCGACAGUGAAGAAUGCUGUAAUACCUGAAGAGUCGGAUACAUCUAAAACUGCCACAGAAAGCAGUGAAGCAAACAUCAGACGCUUUUGCAACUACAUUCUCAAGAAGAUACCUCGCACCAUGGCAAUUAUGGCGUGCUUCGUUGGUUGUUGUUACUUCCUAAUCGUUUCGGCGAAUCGCCUUGAUUCUGAUGUGAUAUUACAAGAAUUCAAGGCGACCAGUUCAGUGAGCAAGGAAAACUUGCAAAUAACAGUUUGCCCAGUAGCACCGUUUGACCCGAUUCAAACAUUGGACUUCAAAGCUCACACGAAAAGAGCGAAUUAUCUAAGAAAACUUGAUACCACUUCGCUCAACUCACAUGACUUUUCCAAGAAUUAUAUCAGAGCAAUGAAGUGUUUGUACGCUAGCAAAUACUCACACGAAGAUGAGCCUGUAGAAGAAAAGAUACAUUCGCUGGCACUACAUACAGAAUGCAUGACCUUCGCAGGGAAGCUUUUCACAUCCGAUUAUCCCAACGAUCUUCUAGAAGUCUAUACCUGGUUUAGAACUUUUCUCUCACUAAAAAUGCUUGAGCUUGACAGAGAAGGUGAUGUCGAUUCUUACGAUGAAAUUUACAAGAACAUUGAUAUUUUGAAGCAAGACAACUCCACGCUGUCGCAAUAUCUAAAAGAUGUAUCCCGAGAUAUGGAAGAAUUUUUUACAAGUGACUUUACUUCUGUUGACAACAUUAACCUGAAUAAGCCCGCCCAAAAAGUUAUCGUGAACAAUGCAUUUAUAACACGUUUUGGAAUGAAAUGCACCAGUUACACCCUAGCAGACAGCGAAAAAGGAAAAAAGUUGAACCAGAGAUAUCAGCUUCAGAUGACUUUUAACAGGGUGGAAUUUUCCUACCUGCUGGUGUUUGUGAACGAAAAUCGCACAUUCAGCGACAUCCCCGGUGCAACAUUGAUUCAGCCAUACCGAAUCCCACUGGACACUACCAGCAUACUCCACAUUCGAAGAAUCGAGAAAACCAUUAAGAAUGAGCGGUUAGAAAACUGCAAGAGCUACGACAGGAGCACCUCGCCUGGUUCCCAUGUCGAAUGCAUGGAAGCAUGCAUCCUUAAGAAGGUGGUUACCCAUCAAAACCUCACUUGUCUGAUGCCGUGGAUGGACCGAAACUCUACACGUGGUUUGAUCAAUAAACCAUUUUGCAACACAUCCGAAGAAUUUCUCAGAAGCCGUGAUGCAGUGCAGAGUGUUUUUCAAGGAAAUACCAGCGAUUGCAACAUCGAAUGUACAGAAGGCUGCGAGAAGCUGAAUAUCCUGGUGAAGAUUAUGGGUAUUGUCAAACCGGCCAUCUUCAGCAACGAACAACGCCAUAACUUGAUCUUUAUCGUGUCCAAUGAAAUGGAUGAAUUCAGAAAUAGACCAGCAUACGGCUGGGGUGACUUCAUCUCAGAGGUGUUUGGGUCACUCAGUUUCAUUCUUGGUAUUGCCUUUGUAGCCCUGAUUGACUGGGUAUUUGCAGCACUGCUAUGGCUCUGUGGGAAACUCCCCUACAUCCCAGCAAUGCCGCCUAUCCUAAACUCGGACAUUUACAUCCGUGACAUCUACUUUAUAGUCAGACACGAGCUGUAUGGUGAACCGAUUCCAAUGACCAUAUCACAGACGUACUUGAAAAAGCAUGAGCAUAGGAGGGAUGCGUUCCAAGCUGCCCCGUCUACGACAGAGAAAACGGACAGUGACCACCGGCGUCCUCGCCCUCAGUUCCCUCGAAUGCAUCAAAGGAAGUCUAGUCUGGCUCUAAUGUCGGAGGCUAUUGCCGCAGUGUCGCAUCAACACGAGGAAGCAGUAUUGAUGCAGCAGUUCAAGAGUUUGUCCGAAGUUAUUCGACGUGGAAGUUCUGUCGCAGAUAGGGACUUGCAAAAGCGCUCAUCCUUCCCUCCCGGCGGCCGGUCUCAACAAACCAGCCCAUCAGUGCGCCAUCCGUCUGGAGCGACCGCAUCAAGUUCUCAUGGCAUGCCAACGAAGUGGUCGGAACCAAAAAUAACGAUAAGCGCACCUGAUGAAGACGAUUAUAGGGAAAGGUCACAAACGCCGUCACCCAAAAGCGAACCAGAUGAAGCUGAGCAUGAAAGUCAACCGGAAACUCAAGGCGCCCCGGGACAAGAGGCCAUCGACACUGGUCAACCGCCGCUGACGCCGGCUAAGAGCGGGCUGCCGGGCAUAGACCAGCAGCGUCGGCCGUCGCGAGCCGCCUCCGUGCUGCGAGACCUCGACGCUGCCGAGGCGAGCCCUUCAACGGCCGAAGGAGCGGCUGCACCGCAGCUCCCGGCCCAGGGACAGAGACGUGCCUCCUUAUAUCGCACUAAACCGCGGCGAAAAUCGCACGCGGUCGCGCCGGCUCCGGCCCCCGCGAUCGCAGAAUCGAGCGAAGGCGAAGAGCCGCCGGACUGAGCUUUAAUGCACUAAUUUGGUUAUCUAGGUUUUUACAUUGUAUUGCCUGUGUUGCCGUGACGACUGGAAGCCAUGGCUGAACCGAGUCAUUUGGGUGGCCCUAAUUCGUGCCCCGCCAAUGACUUGUGUAGCAUUGACCGUUUUGUCUUUUAUUGAACCCUGAUGUCUUACGCUACUAAUGUCCAGCAAGCACGGAGACUGAUGCGUUCGCUUAUGUCACAAGGUCCGCGUGCAUGUGGAAUGUCCUUUGCUGUGUGCUGCUCACAAAGAGACCAACUGACUAGUU